rnacentral:rRNA from 1 species
AUCUGAUGUGAGAAAUUCAAUAUUAUUUAAUUGUAAUUCAUUUUUGAUAUUACAUUUAAAUAGUAUGCACUUUUCUCAUAGUAAGACAUUGUAAUCCAUUGAUAUUAUAUCUUUAUUUAUUUAAAGAUGAUUUAACAUACGAACAAAAUGUAUAUGAUUAUUCUAUAAAUGAUAUGUUUUACAUAUCAUAUGAAUAAAAUCGUUUUGUAUCUGUUUAAAUAGUCGAUGGAUUUUUUAAAUUAAAAUCAUGCUUGCAAUUUAUUUUGCGUUUCGUAUCAUUAAUUUUUAAUUGAUGAUAGCAGAAAUGGCAUGUAUUUGAUUAACAAUGCGAUAGAUUUGGGAUGCCUUCGGGACCCGUCUUGA